rnacentral:ncRNA from 2 species
AUUAAAACUAUGAUGGGGACAGUAAGCAUCAGGAAACCUUUUAGCGAACCGGGGAGGGUGCAAGCCCGGCAGGGGAUGAUGACUGAAAAUCACCCAGGAGUGUGAUUCUGAAACUAAAGGAGUAAGAAUUGCCGGCUUAUUUGCCGUUAUCAAAAAUGAGAGGGAAAAAGAUGUAAUAAUAUAAAUUAUAAAUGAUCUUUUUCCUAUUUGGGUGGUAACGCGGGAGAAAUCUCGUCCCUUUU